ensembl:lncRNA
CAAGAUUAUGCCAGUUUCCCCUUUUUUUGCAUUUUUAGUGGUCUUGUCUCCUGCCCUAACAUCUCCAGUAUAUUUGUGCCAUUUCUCUGAAGUCUUUGGUUUCAGGUCGUACAAAUUGGAUUUCUCUGAAGACACUGGCCUAAGAAAGUUUUGUCCAGAAAGAUCCACAGAGUUGUAAACAUUAUGCAGAUGGUUAUUGAAAAUAAAAUAAAACAAAAUAUCCUACUGGUUUUUUUAGUAAGGAGAACAGAGCAAGAAACCAUACACACCCAGAGCUGGGGAGGCUACUGGAAAUGGGUCAGAAGGAGGGAAGAGCAGAUGAGGGCUGAAUACAUUAAAAUAAUGUGGACACUCUACCUACUUUCUUCUUUAGUGAACAUACAUUUCUUGGAUAACUGUAAAAUUAUUUCUCAAAAAUUAGAACCCUUCAAAUGAGAAAAGUGGUGGUAGACAGGGAAUGUGACUAUAUUUAUAGAACAGUGAAUAGGUAGAUAGGUGGACUUGAAUUUUUCCAUUGUACAUACCAGUUAAAAAGAGUUUGUUCAACAGCAAAAAGGAAUAGUAGCACAAUAGACUAUUAAAUAUGUGACAUUCUUUAGUAUAAGCUGAAAGAAAUUGAAAUAGUUUAGAUGCAGAGCAAUAGAGUACAGUGAUGUAAAACACUGCCCUUAGGAGUGGAUUCUGGAGUCCCUGCCCUGCCUUCCUGACCACCAUGUAAUCUCAGCAAGUUUGUAAAAUAUACAGAAUCAUGUCAGCCUCAAUGCUUGUGAGGAACAAAUACGGUCAGAUGUGUAAAAUAAUAAUAACCUACAUCUAGUAAAUAACCAAUAUCAUUAACAUUCUUAUACAGAAGUCUCAACCUGACAGCCUGAACCUAAUUAGGCCUACAAGUAUAUUCUAUUUUGCAGGUAUGGCAUUUGAAAAGAAGAACUUGAGUGCUUUUAGACAGGACAUGUUCUUUCCAAUUGGCCGCUGGUCCUAGCAUGAGCUCUUACCUCACACCCAGCCCCAUUCAGACAUUCAUAUUUCUUGCUCACUGUGUAAACACUUGAGUGGGCCACCAGUGGCUACAGAGAAUUGCUGGCUAGUGGGGUAAUAGC